GAACUUGAGGAGAACAUAUACUAAAAUUGGAACAAUAGAGACAAUUAGCAUGGCCUUUACACAAGGAUGACACUCAAGUUCCUGAAGUGUUAAAAAAAAAA
ensembl:snRNA U6 U6 spliceosomal RNA